UUUUAAGGUCUUCUUUCUUGGUUCGUAAUAGUUUUGUUCUUGUAUAAUUAAAAACAAAAUUAAAAUAUUUCUGCCCCCUCACUUUUGCAAAGCCUAUAAUCCAGCUCCUGGAGACACAGCAGGAGUGCCACAAUCAGAUGCAGAGCAUGGAGCCUUCACUGCUGUCGCAAGCAAAUUAAAACCCCAGUCAUAGGAAACAAAGCAAAUAUUGAGUCAUUUCCCAGGAAUGAUGAAAUCUGAUGGAAGGGAAAGCCACACCAGUUCCCUCGGUACCUCUCGGCAGCUGUGUCAUCGGGAAAGACCCCAAAAUGUGCCCGAGGAAGGUGCCAGGUGCUGCUCGCAAAGCCUUGCAUGGAGCUGGUGGCUGGACUCGAGUUACAGCUGUGCCUCCAUUCCGGGCCUGGCUUCUGAACCUCCUAGUGGAUCCUUUGAUGUGUGUGCAUUUUCUCAGCUUGGAGAUGUUGCUGGCAAACUGCAUGGUUGGCAGGAGCGAGGCAGAGCAUUGGCCCUCUGCAGAGCUGGCAGGGAACAGGGUAAUGUACUCAGUCCCCGCAGAGCCCAAAGUCACUUGAAAGAGACAACGAUGGUCUCCAGAUGAAGCUGGCAAAAAGAUAAAAAGGAUGUCGGGUCUCAGUCUUGGCCGCAUUGCUUGGUUUCUGUGGAUGAUCCCAAUAAACAUUUAAUCAGUUUUCAGUCUUGGAGGUAAAAAUCUCUCUCCUGUCCAAAUGGAAGAAAAGGGCCUCCAUGGAAGAAAAGGAACGGGAAAGGGCCAGGAGAAAGGGAAGGAGGGUAGAAGCCGCCCAUUUCCAGACUGCCACGGCCUGGGAGCUCGGGUCCUUGCAGAAGGUCUGAGUUGGAAUGUGAAUGUCGGACGUGAUGGUGUGUGAAGGUAGAGCCUUUGGAAGGUGCUUAGGU
rnacentral:lncRNA from 1 species